GCUGCUCUGUCCCACAAUCAACACAGCCGAUGCUCUUCUCGGUACUGUGCAGAAUUCUUAGUCUUAAAGGGAAGCAGCCAGAGCAAAACCGAUGAUGAGACUCCUAAGUCAAAUCCUAAGCUUCACCUGAAGAAUAGAAGAUUAUCUGGAAUACCAGGUACCAAUUAUGAAUAAAGAAAACGAAAUUCAUGCAACGGAAAUACACAUUCUGUGAUGUCAUCAAAGCAGCACCCACUCUUGUGACCAAGUCCUACUAGCUAACAAGGUGAACAGGAGCAUGUGAGGGGAUUUGCCGAGGAAAACUGCCCACCCAAAGCACGUGCCCACUUAGAUGGCUGUGGCAAUCUGAACUUGCAGUGGAUAAAAGUGAAGCAGCUUAGCUUUUCUCACACCAACCCACCCAUUGUCAAGUUCAUCGAUCCUGAACUCCUGGGGUAGGAGAGUAUUGACAGCAACAGACAGAGAUGAAUCCUUCUCCAAAGAGUGUAGGGAAAUGAGUCAUCGUUGUCAAGACUUCAGUUGUGUUCGUGGAUUGUCCUCUGAGAUGUUAAUGCAGAGCAAAAAAAGCCCCUUGGAUGAAUCAACUUCAGAGCUGGGAAAACCACAAUGAUGAACUCAAAGGCCAGAAGCAGUUAUAUGGAUGAAAAGGCUAACAACUCUUAUCUCAACCUGCAUCUGAAACAGACCCAUGUAAGGGCUGGCCAGGACAGGAAGCACUUGGAUCACAUACUAUAGAAUGUAAUUACUAAAAGAACCACUAAUAUUUUAAGUGGCAAUAUUGGGCAUGAUUUUUUUAGAAUUUAUCAGAUGAUCAUAGAAGUUCUCUUUAUAGCUACAGCACACUGAAAAGUUACUUUAAAGAAUUUGAUCAAAUAGGUAGAAGUUCUGAUGCAGCUAUUAACAUUCAACGAGCCAAUUGCAAAUCUCUCCCUACAGUGGACGAAAGCUAGGACAAAUGAUCAGAAGUCACCUUGAAUAAAAACUCAGUGAGAAACACGCAAGCAUCUGCUGCUAUCACCAAGGGCCUUGCGGGCUCCCCAAAUGGUAGCUGCUCUUUUGUGAAUGGCAGCAAUUUGAAGGCUUUAAAUCAAUAAGCAAAUCGCUGACUCUCUGUCUACAAUAACCUCCACUUCUUGGCUCCUCUCAGUGCCAAGCCUUCUCCAGCUGUUGUGUGUGACCCCGCCCUCCCAGGCCUGUAAACUCCCUACAAUUGUCUCCCAGUUUUAAAGCAAAAAAGGUUGAUUACUUUUCCAAGGUGAAGGGAACACUUUACAUAAAGUAACAGAUUUGGGGUUUGAACUUAAGGCUGUUAUCUCUGUGGUAUCAUUCUUUAAUAAUAUGUGCUUUCCUUGCUGGCAUCAAUACCUCCCAGUACACAGAAUGCUUCAGUACCCACACGAGAAUAAGGAAACCUCUCACUAAUUCUCAUAAAACAUAACAAAUUCUGGCUUUUCUUGCCUAUAGAUAAACCUCUUGAAUCAAAGGUAUAAAAAAAUGUUCAAAUUUUAGGGUGACAUUUGAAUGAACAUAUCAGUAUUUUAAUCAAAAGGACUGUGUUUUUUUUAAGUGAGAACAUGAGAGCCAACCAUAUGAACAUGUCAUAGCUUUGAUUUCAUUCACACACACACACCCCAAAGGAAAAGCAUGUUUAUGCUUGUUUGCUGCCCAAGCCCAGCCCAGCAUCUUGCUGUGAUUAGCAACAGAACUCUCCAAUUCUGAUUCCAUUCACACAUCUGCCACGUGGAGACAGUCCCCAGAGCAGAGCCCUGGCACCACAAUAAAGUCAGUUACAUUGUUUCACCUAUUGUAGGAGGAAUAAACUACAAGCCAUUUGGUGUCACUAGUGGGGAGAGGACCCUACUGAUUUCAAACUAAAAAGAUAACAAACUUGGUUUGUAAAACUGUUGAAAGGCAAUUCCCAAGAAUGCAUGGCUCAAAAGCCAAAGACCAGAAAGAAAAUUGAUCGCAAGUAAGUAAAAGUGGAUUGAUCUAAUAGAGUAAGUCACAAGAUACGGAAUGACACUAAGACUCUUGCUAUGAACUGAGGGCUUAAUAUCUGGUUACAAACUUGAAAAUAAGCAAGUAAGUAAAUAUAUGUCAUGUCCAUUGAGUAUUGUGUUCAUUUGCAUAAUUUAAAACCCAGAUUCCUUUUUUAUAA